UUUAAAAUUUAGAAUUACUUUAAAAUUUUAAAAUUUGGAUACAUAUUAAAAAAAUUAAUUUUAGAAAAAAAUUAACUGAUAAAUAAAUUUAUACCAUCAAUAAUUAUUUAAAUUUAAAAUAUAAAUAUAAAUUUAAUUUAAUUAAAUAUUACGUGCAUUGCACGUGCACUAUAACUAGUAGUAAUUAAAACCCGACUAUAUAUUAAUUUUAUAUUUUU
rnacentral:lncRNA from 1 species